rnacentral:rRNA from 2 species
UUAAGCGACUAAGCGUACACGGUGGAUGCCCUGGCAGUCAGAGGCGAUGAAGGACGUGCUAAUCUGCGAAAAGCGUCGGUAAGGUGAUAUGAACCGUUAUAGCCGGCGAUGUCCGAAUGGGGAAACCCAGUGCAAUUCGUUGCACUAUCGUUUGAUGAAUACAUAGUCAAACGAGGCGAACCGGGGGAACUGAAACAUCUAAGUACCCCGAGGAAAAGAAAUCAACCGAGAUUCCCCCAGUAGCGGCGAGCGAACGGGGAGCAGCCCGGAGUCUGAAUCAGCUUGUGUGUUAGUGGAAGCGUCUGGAAAGUCGCAGGGUACAGGGUGAUACUCCCGUACACUAAAACACACAGGUUGUGAACUCGAAGAGUAGGGCGGGACACGUGGUAUCCUGUCUGAAUAUGGGGGGACCAUCCUCCAAGGCUAAAUACUCCUGACUGACCGAUAGUGAACCAGUACCGUGAGGGAAAGGCGAAAAGAACCCCGGCGAGGGGAGUGAAAAAGAACCUGAAACCGUGUACGUACAAGCAGUAGGAGCCCACUUGUUGGGUGACUGCGUACCUUUUGUAUAAUGGGUCAGCGACUUAUAUUCUGUAGCAAGGUUAACCGUAUAGGGGAGCCGCAGGGAAACCGAGUCUUAACUGGGCGUUAAGUUGCAGGGUAUAGACCCGAAACCCGGUGAUCUAGCCAUGGGCAGGUUGAAGGUUGGGUAACACUAACUGGAGGACCGAACCGACUAAUGUUGAAAAAUUAGCGGAUGACUUGUGGCUGGGGGUGAAAGGCCAAUCAAACCGGGAGAUAGCUGGUUCUCCCCGAAAGCUAUUUAGGUAGCGCCUCGUGAACUCAUCUUCGGGGGUAGAGCACUGUUUCGGCUAGGGGGUCAUCCCGACUUACCAACCCGAUGCAAACUACGAAUACCGAAGAAUGUUAUCACGGGAGACACACGGCGGGUGCUAACGUCCGUCGUGAAGAGGGAAACAACCCAGACCGCCAGCUAAGGUCCCAAAGUCAUGGUUAAGUGGGAAACGAUGUGGGAAGGCCCAGACAGCCAGGAUGUUGGCUUAGAAGCAGCCAUCAUUUAAAGAAAGCGUAAUAGCUCACUGGUCGAGUCGGCCUGCGCGGAAGAUGUAACGGGGCUAAACCAUGCACCGAAGCUGCGGCAGCGACGCUUAUGCGUUGUUGGGUAGGGGAGCGUUCUGUAAGCCGUUGAAGGUGGCCUGUGAGGGUUGCUGGAGGUAUCAGAAGUGCGAAUGCUGACAUAAGUAACGAUAAUGCGGGUGAAAAACCCGCACGCCGGAAGACCAAGGGGUUCCUGUCCAACGUUAAUCGGGGCAGGGUGAGUCGACCCCUAAGGCGAGGCCGAAAGGCGUAGUCGAUGGGAAACAGGUUAAUAUUCCUGUACUCGGUGUUACUGCGAAGGGGGGACGGAGAAGGCUAUGUUGGCCGGGCGACGGUUGUCCCGGUUUAAGCAUGUAGGCGGAUGUUCCAGGUAAAUCCGGAACGUCACUAACGCUGAGGUGUGAUGACGAGGCACUACGGUGCUGAAGUGACAAAUGCCCUGCUUCCAGGAAAAGCCUCUAAGCAUCAGGUAACAUCAAAUCGUACCCCAAACCGACACAGGUGGUCAGGUAGAGAAUACCAAGGCGCUUGAGAGAACUCGGGUGAAGGAACUAGGCAAAAUGGUGCCGUAACUUCGGGAGAAGGCACGCUGAUGGUAGGUGAAGCGACUUGCUCGUGGAGCUGAAAUCAGUCGAAGAUACCAGCUGGCUGCAACUGUUUAUUAAAAACACAGCACUGUGCAAACACGAAAGUGGACGUAUACGGUGUGACGCCUGCCCGGUGCCGGAAGGUUAAUUGAUGGGGUUAUCCGUAAGGAGAAGCUCUUGAUCGAAGCCCCGGUAAACGGCGGCCGUAACUAUAACGGUCCUAAGGUAGCGAAAUUCCUUGUCGGGUAAGUUCCGACCUGCACGAAUGGCGUAAUGAUGGCCAGGCUGUCUCCACCCGAGACUCAGUGAAAUUGAACUCGCUGUGAAGAUGCAGUGUACCCGCGGCAAGACGGAAAGACCCCGUGAACCUUUACUAUAGCUUGACACUGAACACUGGUCCUUGAUGUGUAGGAUAGGUGGGAGGCUUUGAAGUGUGGACGCCAGUCUGCAUGGAGCCAUCCUUGAAAUACCACCUUUAAUGGCUGGUGUUCUAACGUGGGCCCCUGAUCGGGGUUGCGGACAGUGUCUGGUGGGUAGUUUGACUGGGGCGGUCUCCUCCUAAAGAGUAACGGAGGAGCACGAAGGUCAGCUAAUCCUGGUCGGACAUCAGGAGGUUAGUGCAAUGGCAUAAGCUGGCUUGACUGCGAGCGUGACGGCGCGAGCAGGUGCGAAAGCAGGUCAUAGUGAUCCGGUGGUUCUGAAUGGAAGGGCCAUCGCUCAACGGAUAAAAGGUACUCCGGGGAUAACAGGCUGAUACCGCCCAAGAGUUCAUAUCGACGGCGGUGUUUGGCACCUCGAUGUCGGCUCAUCACAUCCUGGGGCUGAAGUAGGUCCCAAGGGUAUGGCUGUUCGCCAUUUAAAGUGGUACGCGAGCUGGGUUUAGAACGUCGUGAGACAGUUCGGUCCCUAUCUGCCGUGGGCGCUGGAGAAUUGAGGGGGGCUGCUCCUAGUACGAGAGGACCGGAGUGGACGCAUCACUGGUGUUCGGGUUGUCAUGCAAUGGCAUUGCCCGGUAGCUAAAUGCGGAAGAGAUAAGUGCUGAAAGCAUCUAAGCACGAAACUUGCCCCGAGAUGAGUUCUCCCUGACUCCUUGAGAGUCCUGAAGGAACGUUGAAGACGACGACGUUGAUAGGCCGGGUGUGUAAGCGCAGCGAUGCGUUGAGCUAACCGGUACUAAUGAACCGUGAGGCUUAACCUU